CAACCCACGCGGCCUCGGGUGUUUAAAUGACAACGAAACCGGAUCCCUGGUGAAAUUGGGUCCGAGUGAAUUAAAAGUUGAUUUAAGCUCAAUUGAAAUCAUAAAUCCGAUUUGAUCGCAUCAGCUGCUUCAAAUCUUUCCCUCUCUCUAUAUCUACAGAAUUUAAAGGGGAUAUAGGAUGAAUCCGUUGACUUUGGUGAAGCGUAUACAAAACAUUAAUUCAAAAGAAGCAUCGCUAGGUAUAUCUGAAGAUGCUUCUUGGCAUGCUGUUUACAAAGAAUCUGCUUAUGUUUAUGUUGGUGGAAUUCCGUUUGAUCUUACCGAAGGCGAUCUUCUCGCAGUUUUUGCUCAAUAUGGAGAGAUUGUUGACGUUAAUCUUGUGAGAGAUAAAGGCACGGGCAAAUCGAAAGGUUUUGCGUUUGUUGCGUAUGAGGAUCAGAGAAGUACAAAUCUUGCGGUGGAUAAUCUGAACGGUGCUCAAGUUCUUGGUCGAAUAAUACGGGUUGAUCACGUUAGCAAGUACAAAAAGAAAGAAGAAGAAGAUGAGGAGUUAGAACAGCAAAAGAGGGAGGAACGGGGUGUGUGUCGGGCUUUUCAAAAGGGCGAGUGCACCCGUGGUGAUGGAUGCAGAUUUUCUCAUAAUGCACAAAGAGCUGCAAAUACUGGUUGGGGUGCUGAUGAUCAUAAAAGGUCAAGACGGGAAGAUGACAAGUUUGGGGGUUCAGCAAGAAAUGUGGAAAAGGCUGGCCAUUUGGGUCAUUCUCGAGAGACUUCUGCUCAGGAUGGGCGUAGAGUAACUGAUAAAGAAACGAGAGAUUCCAGAGCGCCAGUGACUAACCGUGACAUAGACAGGCAUUAUAAGAGAACUGAAUCAAAUGCAUUUGAUCCUGAUGAGAGAGGCAUUGAUAAACGAGCAGAGAGGCAGGAGAGGAAAUCAUAUGACAAAGAUAACCGUGACAGGCAAGGACUUGAUGGAAGGUCAAGACGACAUGGUCUUGAAUCAGAUUCAAGGGAACAUGAUGAUAGAAGAGGAGAGAAGGGAUCAAGAAAGGAGUCAGUAUCAUAUCGCACAGAAGCCCGAGAGAACAGUGGUAAGGACAAGCGAUCACUUCAUGUUAGAGAUUCUUCCCCUCAUCGUCGCAGCGAGAUGGAAGAUAGGCCACAUAAAUCACGCAGAUAAUGAUAAGGGUUUAUGUUCAAUAUACUGAAGCUGUUGACUCAGCCAGUAACAACCUCCUUUUGUCAGUCAUCAACUUCUUUUAUGGAGUUUGUAUAACAAUAGCAAUUUCAGGAAAGGAGCAAAGAAUCUGAAUAGGAAAUUGCGCGAGGUCAAUAAUUCCUAGGAAGCAUCUGCAUGGUUCAGUGUUACUGCAAACUCUCUACAGCCUUUUCUGGGAACAUGGAGCUAUUCUUGAAAACGGAACAGACAUAGCUGCAGUGCUUGAUCUCAAGUCACAUAUUACCGAAGACCCUCUAGAGUUCUGAACUCUUGGAAUGAUUUCAUACAUUUUUGUCAAUGGCCCGGAGUCAAAUGUGGUGUCGAACACCAGAAAGUCUUCUCCCUUGAGCUUAAAGGUCAGAGUUUUGCUGGGAACAUAUCAACUCUUAUUGGAAAUCUCUCAUUUCUUCGACUCCUUGACCUUGCUGAAAAUUCUUUUAGUGGCAGUAUUCCUCCAGAACUUGGCCGCUUGGGAAGGCUACAAUCUUUGAACUUGAGUAAUAAUAAUCUAGCAGGUGAUAUACCUUUGAAUUUGUCCCAAUGUUCCAACUUGUACAAUCUGGCCCUAGAUCGUAACUACCUCGAGGGAAACAUUCAUCAACUACUGGGUUCUUUGUCAAAACUGAUUACUUUAUCUGAGAGAUGACGUCACUGGAAGAAUCCCAGCUUCUAUUGGGUACCUCACAUCUCUCCAAGAGCUUUACAUCUCAUGUAACAAAUUAAAGGGACAAUUCUAUGGCUCAGAUGAAAAGUCUGACAAUGCUAGGCUUGUCUGUGAAUUCACUGUCUGGUGAGUUUCCUCCUGUACUCAACAAUCUUACUCAAUCAUACUCGCAGGGUUGUCCUUUAACUACUUUACGGGUACUCUCAAUAGCAGAAUAGGCUUCAACUUACCAAGUCUCCAGCUUCUCUACUUGGGAAGCAAUUCUUUCACUGGACCAGUACCAGUUUCACUGACAGAUAUUUCAGGUCUCCAGCGACUUGAUUUACCUAUCAAUAGAUGCACACAAGAUUUUUGGUAACUUAAAUUUUUUUGGCGGUUCAAUGUUGCUGAAAGAUCCCAAAUUUUAUAGGUAAUAUCACGCACCUGGUAAAUCUGUAUCUGCAAUAUAACAAUUUAGAAGGAAACAUACCUUCAAGUUUGGGGGACUGCACGCAUCUUCAGCCUUUAGAUCUUUCUGCAAAUAAACUGGUGGUACUUUUCUAAAGAAGCUUCUCAGUGUUUCAUCAGUUUUAGUACUUUUUGAUUUGUCUUAUAAUUUCUUCUCUGGACCCUUGCCUGAGGAGGUUGGAAAAUUGAAUAAACUUGUUGCGUAAGAUGCUUCAAAUAACAAUAUUUCUGGCAAUAUUCCUAGAAAAAUCAGAAAUUGCUUGACUUUGGAAAGACUCUAUAUGCAGUCCAACUCCUUCCAGGGAAGCCUAUUGGCAUUAGAUAAUUUAAGAAAUAUUCGUUAUCUAGAUGUUUCUCGAAAUAAGUCAAGUAGCCAAAUUCCUCAGAACACGGUCAGACUUUCGAGUUUGCUAAAUUUGAACCUGUCAUUUAACAAUUUUGAGGGUGCAAUGCCACUUGAUGGUGUCUUCCAAAAUGCAAGUGGUAUUCAUGUUUCAGGCAACUCUGGAACAUUGUGGGGGUAUUCAAGGGAUGAAUUUGCCACCAUGCUUUAUACAGCCAUCUGAAAAACAUAAGAAACACACUGCUCAGAAAGUUGAUGGUAGCAACUGUCUGUGCUGUUUCUUUCUUGGCUCUGUUGUCUCUGUUCCUCUCAGUUUGCUAGGUGAAAAAGUCAAAAAACAAGCCAGAUGCAAUAUCUUUAGACAGGCAUUUCUACCAAAAGCUUUCUUACAAAGACCUCCUUGAUGCUACCAGUGGA